GACCUACGGGAGGCAGCAGUGGGGAAUAUUGCACAAUGGGCGAAAGCCUGAUGCAGCAACGCCGCGUGAAGGAAGAAGGGUUUCGGCUCGUAAACUUCUAUCAACAGGGACGAAAGAAAUGACGGUACCUGAAUAAGAAGCCCCGGCUAACUACGUGCCAGCAGCCGCGGUAAUACGUAGGGGCAAGCGUUAUCCGGAAUUACUGGGUGUAAAGGGGGAGUAGGCGGCAUGGUAAGCCAGAUGUGAAAGCCCGGGGCUCAACCGCGGGACUGCUUUUGAAACUGUGUAGCUAGAGUGCAGGAGAG
rnacentral:rRNA from 1 species